AGGGCGUUGGAUUAUAAGACAUUUAGGAAUUAAUAAUGAAAUAGUUAUUAUUUCACACAAUUUCAAGUUUAUAAUCCAUAUUUUAUUGCAGUUGGCUAUAAUUAAAAAUGGAACUCCUGCAUCCAGAGGAGUGUGUGGCAGCUCAAGCUGAAGAAUGAAUACCACAUUAAAACCUGACUGCAGGAGAUGAUCAGAAUAAAGCAGGAGACAGAAGGCUUUCCUGAAGGUCUGCUAGAUGAGCUCUAAAGGUCAUUUCCACACACGUUUCUGCUGAACGCCUCCCGCACAUUUCUCCGAGAAGCGAAAGUGAAACAGCAGAGGCUUUAAACCCUCCAGUGUGUCUGUGCUCGUCCUGAAGCCUCUGCGAACACCAGGAGCUCGGAUAAACCGCUUUGAUUCCGUUAAUAAGACGCCACGGUGGAUUCUCCGAGCAAGAUUUAAUGCAGGAGGCUGUGGGAAAUCUGCUGACCUGAGAAGACCGGCUCAGAAAUGAUCUCUCAAGCUAUGACUUUCAUCAGCUGAUACUAAUGAAAGCACUUCAUUACAGGACAUUGUUUUAAAAGGAUGUUUUCUUGAAUCUGGCUCUGUGGUGGUUUCGUUUUUCAUCACUUGUCACUUGUUUAAUGUGUUUUCUUUAUUGCAUUUACUUGAUGCUUUUCUCUAAAGUGACUUAUUGAUCCAUAUGACGGGAUUCGGCUGUAAUGUUCUUUAUUCUCUUGCCUGAACAAAAAAAUAAAUAAACUGUUUUCCUCACUGAAUCAUA